rnacentral:lncRNA from 1 species
AGAAUUUGUUGAUUGACAAAAUUUGAAUUAAAGUCCAUAAAGGAGAAGAACAAACUCCAUGAAAGGAGAACAAAAUACAGUCCAUAAUAGGAGGAAAUGACACUCCAUUUAAGGAGGAAGAAUCACUCCAUAGAAGGAGGAAGAGAAACCUCCAUGGAAGGAGGGAUUGGAAGACUACAAUCCAAUGAGUUAACAAUGCAUACAAGUGCUCUAUUUAUAGAGCAAAACUAACUAACUAAGGAGGCAAUACGUAUGGAAGAAGAAGUCUCUAGAAUCUGCAAGCUGAACUGGAGGGAAUAUUUUGGUGGAAUCUGGUGAUGCACACUACACACGUGAAGUUAACUGGAAGUGAUGAAUGUUUGGUUCCAACACACCCCCUCAAGAUGGACUUGGAUCCAUCUUGAAGAUGAGUUGUGAAUCAUCAACCAUGUAACAACAACAACAUAUUGAAGUUCAAGUAGAUGCUAUUACUCCAGAUCCUUCAAGUGGUAAGGCUGGUUUACAGAUCCAAGUGUUCCACGCAUUUCCUCUUUCUUCAAAUCCUUACGGAUCUGAACCUGAUUGAAUUUCUUUUCCAGCGAAGAACUAACUACUAAGGACGAGCUGAUCUAAGUAAUAUCUCAGAUCCGACCGUCGCCGUGACUGCAAAUCAUUUGCUGAUAAAAACUCCAGAUUCGUUCUAAUGCACUGCAUGAUUGAAUCUCAAAAUUGAAUCUCUAUUAUCAGUUUCAAAAGAGAGAAAACAACAGAGAGACGAAAAUUUAUUGAUUUAUGCCAAAAAUUGAAGAAAUCGUAAAUUGAAGAAGCCGAUGUUGUUGCCGACAUCAAACACUGAAAUUAUUUAUGAUCGGACCAAAUGAUGACAGAGAACAGAGUAAUUCCAGCAAAAUUAUUUCAGCUUCAGUUAUCAUCUGUAGAUUGGAAGGUUCUGCCAUCACCGACUGAAAUCCAUUGUCCAAUGUUCAUCUGGCCUUCAAUUAUUCAACUUCUACUGCAGAAUCUGAUGUAGAAGGCAACUGAUAUUGAUGAUGUGGAUGAAUGAUACUGAUCUUAUUUCUGAUGACAGAAUGAAAAUCUACUGGAAAUGAAACUUCCAGAAUUAAUCCAAAAACUGAAGAAAUUAUAGAUCUGCUAUUAUUUCAGCAGAACACAAAAGUGGAGAUGAAUUAACUCCAGAAAAUUGCAGCAGCAGGAAGCAUCUGUAUGCUCUGAUACCAUGUUAAAUUCUUGAAUGAAAACAAUAUGAAAGGCUUCAUCAUUGAAGCAAGAAACAAUAUUGAAUUGAACUCCAUGAAAGGAGGAAAGGAAUACAAAUGGAACUGGACUAAGUUCCAUAUAAAAGACGCUCCAUUGUAGGAGGAGAAGAAACCUCCAUAAGGAGGGAUUGGAGAGAAACUACAAUCCAAUGAUUUUUCAAUUAAUACAAUGCCCUAUUUAUAGAGAAAAUGGUAGACUAAUUAACUAACUAAUUAUCUAACAACUAUACAUGCUGGAAGGAUCUGGAACCUGCAGAGUUGGAGAUGGAAUAUUCUGGUGCACACGUGAUGCUGGAAGGUUGAAUCUGCUGGUAUUUGGUGCAUGUGUAUUCCAACACACCCCCCUCAAGAUGGACUUGGAGAUCCAUCUUGAAGAUUAAGGAGUCAAACAUGGAUGCAAGUGCACUUAAGAAUUCUUCUUCAUUACCACGAAUAUGCAACACCUGACGGAUCUUUAUCAGCAAGAGCAUCGAGGUCUGACAAAUCAUCAAUCAAUGAUGGAUCAUCUUUAGGGAGAUGAAAUCCUUUCAAGGACUUAGAAACAAAAUCGAAGAGUAUUCUUCCCUUUUCUUCAACCGAAUCUCCAGUGGCAAUUCGAUCUAGAUCUAUCUAAUGUACUGCAAGAACUGUGAAUAGGCAAUGCUCAUUUGGCCUUCAAGCAGUAGGUAAUGUUGCUGUUGCCGUCAAGCAAUCUAAACUUAUUUCUUAUUACUGGAAUUGAACAUGUACUGGAAAUUACACCUUCCAGAAUUAUGCUAGCAUAGAAGAUAUCACAGAUCUGCAUUUUGAGCAGAACAUAGAAAAUCAGAUGAAUUGAAUCUAAGAAUUAAUACAGCAGCAUGAAGCAAUUCGCUCUGAUACCAUGUUAGAAUUUGUUGAUUGACAAAAUUUGAAUUAAAGUCCAUAAAGGAGAAGAACAAACUCCAUGAAAGGAGAACAAAAUACAGUCCAUAAUAGGAGGAAAUGACACUCCAUUUAAGGAGGAAGAAUCACUCCAUAGAAGGAGGAAGAGAAACCUCCAUGGAAGGAGGGAUUGGAAGACUACAAUCCAAUGAGUUAACAAUGCAUACAAGUGCUCUAUUUAUAGAGCAAAACUAACUAACUAAGGAGGCAAUACGUAUGGAAGAAGAAGUCUCUAGAAUCUGCAAGCUGAACUGGAGGGAAUAUUUUGGUGGAAUCUGGUGAUGCACACUACACACGUGAAGUUAACUGGAAGUGAUGAAUGUUUGGUUCCAACAUUCAAAACAUGAUUGAUUCAGUAGAGUCACUUGCUCGUUUUGGCCUUUUGUCUUCAUUCUACUUGCCUAUCUCAUGUCCUGUAAAAACGGCAACUUAAUGCUUCUGAACGAUAGAGCAAGAGAAGACAUACAAGAAGAAGAUCAACAAAAUGACCGACACCAAGACUUGUAUAGUUAUUAAAAUCUUUUCAACCAUCUAGUUUGGCUUAGUAAUUAAAAUCCUAUUGCAGUAUUUGAUUUCAUUGAAUUUACCCAAACUUUUCAGGUCCAUUAGGAUACUAAUGUUG